GUUAAUCCUCAAAACUGCUUUUGAUUUCCACAGAUUUUUGCCUGGCUUUGAGCAUCCACAGAUCCUCUCAAUGCUCUGUUAUUUCAUUCGGACUUUCCUGGAAACAGAAUUGCCUCCUAUGGCUGAACCAACAGAAGCCAGGUGACAGGGGAGCCUUUGAUGCAGACAUGGAAUACUGUUCUCUCAGCACCCUGUCUUACAGGUGACCCUUAAACAAGGCAGCAUGACAGUUACCACAGAUUCCUCUCAUCCAUCAUGAGAACACUGUGAUAGAAUUGUCUCUUAGGGACACGGAGAACAGGCUCUCAAAGAGUAGGUACAAAGUCCUAUAAAGCAU